UACGGAGGAGGCAAGCGUUAUCCGGAAUUAUUGGGCGUAAAGCGUCCGCAGGUGGCACCUCAAGUCUGCUGUCAAAGACCGGGGCUUAACCCCAGAAAGGCAGUGGAAACUGAAGUGCUAGAGUGCAGUAGGGGUAGAGGGAAUUCCCGGUGUAGCGGUGAAAUGCGUAGAGAUCGGGAAGAACAUCGGUGGCGAAAGCGCUCUGCUGGACUGCAACUGACACUCAGGGACGAAAGCUAGGGGAGCGAACAGG
rnacentral:rRNA from 1 species